rnacentral:tRNA from 1 species
GCCGGUGUGGCGGAAUGGCAGACGCGACCGACUCAAAAUCGGUUGCCCGAACGGGCGUGUGGGUUCGACUCCCACCACCGGCA